AGAGUUUGAUCCUGGCUCAGGAUGAACGCUAGCGGGAGGCCUAACACAUGCAAGCCGAGCGGUAUUGUUUCUUCGGAAACGAGAGAGCGGCGCACGGGUGCGGAACACGUGUGCAACCUGCCUUUAUCUGGGGGAUAGCCUUUCGAAAGGAAGAUUAAUACCCCAUAAUAUUUUGAAUGGCAUCAUUUAAAAUUGAAAACUCCGGUGGAUAGAGAUGGGCACGCGCAAGAUUAGAUAGUUGGUAGGGUAACGGCCUACCAAGUCAGUGAUCUUUAGGGGGCCUGAGAGGGUGAUCCCCCACACUGGUACUGAGACACGGACCAGACUCCUACGGGAGGCAGCAGUGAGGAAUAUUGGACAAUGGGUGAGAGCCUGAUCCAGCCAUCCCGCGUGAAGGACGACGGCCCUAUGGGUUGUAAACUUCUUUUGUACAGGGAUAAACCUAUUUACGUGUAAAUAGCUGAAGGUACUGUACGAAUAAGCACCGGCUAACUCCGUGCCAGCAGCCGCGGUAAUACGGAGGGUGCAAGCGUUAUCCGGAUUUAUUGGGUUUAAAGGGUCCGUAGGCGGAUCCGUAAGUCAGUGGUGAAAUCUCAUAGCUUAACUAUGAAACUGCCAUUGAUACUGCGGGUCUUGAGUAAGGUAGAAGUAGCUGGAAUAAGUAGUGUAGCGGUGAAAUGCAUAGAUAUUACUUAGAACACCAAUUGCGAAGGCAGGUUACUAUGUCUUAACUGACGCUGAUGGACGAAAGCGUGGGGAGCGAACAGGAUUAGAUACCCUGGUAGUCCACGCCGUAAACGAUGCUAACUCGUUUUUGGGCUUUCGGGUUCAGAGACUAAGCGAAAGUGAUAAGUUAGCCACCUGGGAGUACGAACGCAAGUUUGAAACUCAAAGGAAUUGACGG
rnacentral:rRNA from 1 species